GUAAAGUUUUAUCCUAGCUUGUUCUUUCAUUUUUAGGUUAAUGGUACAUGUAAAUUUUAAUGUUACAACAUAUUUUGUUAAAACUAAAGGUUAACAAAUGGUCUNAAAGUAGAGGUUUCAUUAAGAAAUAAAUUCUCAGUACCUAGUGCUAAUCAAUAAAUAUACGUUAGAAUUGGUAAUCCUAAUUAUAUACCUGGUUAAAAUUUGUGCCAGCAGCCGCGGUUAGACUGAGAGGUAAAAUGAAAGAAAUUUGGUUAAAAACAGUUAUAUUUAUUAAUUUUUUUCUUUUAAAGGACUAUAUUAAUAAAGGGUGAAAUCAGUUUUUUAAUAAAUAGUAAAAUAAAAGUCUUAAUUUUAAUUGAAG
rnacentral:rRNA from 1 species